rnacentral:rRNA from 1 species
UACGUAGGAUGCAAGCGUUGUCCGGAAUUAUUGGGCGUAAAGAGCGCGCAGGCGGUAUGACAGUCAGAUGUGAAAGAGGCCGGCUUAACCGGCAAGGGUCAUUUGAAACUGUCAGACUAGAGUGCAGCAGAGGAUAGUGGAAUUCCCGGAUGUAGUGGUGAAAUGCGUAGAGUAUCGGAAGGAACGACCUGUGGCGAAAGCGGCUCACUGGACCAUUAC